UAUAUUUGAGUGUGGAGCAUAUAAAAUUUUGAAUUUUAUGGAAUUAAUUAAUUUAAUAAAUAUAA
rnacentral:tRNA from 1 species